CCUACGGGAGGCAGCAGUGGGGAAUAUUGGGCAAUGGACGCAAGUCUGACCCAGCAACGCCGCGUGAAGGAAGAAGGCUUUCGGGUUGUAAACUUCUUUUAAGGGGGAAGAGCAGAAGACGGUACCCCUUGAAUAAGCCACGGCUAACUACGUGCCAGCAGCCGCGGUAAUACGUAGGGAGCAAGCGUUGUUCGGAAUGACUGGGCGUAAAGGGUGCGUAGGCGGUUAUACAAGUUAGAAGUGAAAUACCCAGGGCUUAACUCGGGUGCUGCUUCUAAAACUGUAAGACUUGAGUGCAGUAGAGGUUAGUGGAAUUCCUAGUGUAGCGGUGGAAUGCGUAGAUAUUAGGAGGAACACCAGAGGCGAAGGCGGCUAACUGGACUGCAACUGACGCUGAGGCACGAAAGUGUGGGGAGCAAACAGGAUUAGAUACCCCUGUAGUC
rnacentral:rRNA from 1 species